rnacentral:rRNA from 1 species
GACGAACGCUGGCGGCGUGCCUAAUACAUGCAAGUAGAACGCUGAAGGAGGAGCUUGCUUCUCUGGAUGAGUUGCGAACGGGUGAGUAACGCGUAGGUAACCUGCCUGGUAGCGGGGGAUAACUAUUGGAAACGAUAGCUAAUACCGCAUAAUAGUAGAUGUUGCAUGACAUUUGCUUAAAAGGUGCAAUUGCAUCACUACCAGAUGGACCUGCGUUGUAUUAGCUAGUUGGUGAGGUAACGGCUCACCAAGGCGACGAUACAUAGCCGACCUGAGAGGGUGAUCGGCCACACUGGGACUGAGACACGGCCCAGACUCCUACGGGAGGCAGCAGUAGGGAAUCUUCGGCAAUGGACGGAAGUCUGACCGAGCAACGCCGCGGGAGUGAAGAAGGGUUUCGGAUCGUAAAGCUCUGUUGUAAGAGAAGAACGAGUGUGAGAGUGGAAAGUUCACACUGUGACGGUAUCUUACCAGAAAGGGACGGCUAACUACGUG